UUGCAAUGUAAUGUAUUCACAUGGCGGCCGUUUUCCUCUGUUAACGUGCUCAGGGCGGUAAGCGUGAAUGCUGGGAUAGCUUUAUGCUGCUCAGUUCUAGCUUGCUAGGCGUAUAAACAUAGGGAUUCUGACAAACUGUUAUCAUUUCACCACUUCCCAAUUGACCAGCAACAGAAAAGAUGACGGACAGUGGAAAUCUGGAGGGACAUCAGGCCACAUUUCAAGUACCUGUGAUGUUUGCUGACCCCAGUUCGGUGAAAGACAACACAAUGGAUGUUGGUGUAGCCUCUCCAGGAGCAACACACUUCUUCCUGUGAUUUUUCUUUGGCACACAUGAAGUCACCGGCAACUUCUCUUCACUUGGGACGAAGGGCGGGUCCUUUACCUGGUCGUGGGUCGAGAGUGCAUGGCGGCCACUAAGGUGGAGGUGUGCGGCUGGAAGGCGGGAACAGCCUCGUCUGUGUACAUGCCUCCAGUCUGCCGGUGGUUUAAACUCACCAUGUCUGUCAUCACAACCAGCCCUGUUUCCUGAGUUAAACAUACAGAGAAAAUAAAAACAAACACAUGCAUUAAAGAUUA